GGGAGCUCUGGACUGGGAGUCGGAAGGGAGCACUGGACUAGGAGUCAGAAGGUGGAGUUCUGGGCACUGUUUUUCCACUCUUGGGCGCUGGGCAUGUUCUG
rnacentral:miRNA from 1 species